UACGUAGGGCGCAAGCGUUAUCCGGAAUUAUUGGGCGUAAAGAGCUCGUAGGCGGUUUGUCGCGUCUGCCGUGAAAGUCCGGGGCUCAACUCCGGAUCUGCGGUGGGUACGGGCAGACUAGAGUGAUGUAGGGGAGACUGGAAUUCCUGGUGUAGCGGUGAAAUGCGUAGAUAUCAGGAGGAACACCGGUGGCGAAGGCGGCGUUCUGGACUGUAACUGACACUGAGGAACGAAAGCCAGGGGAGCAAACGGG
rnacentral:rRNA from 1 species